rnacentral:lncRNA from 1 species
GUAUUUUCAUAUAAUUUUUUUCUUCAUAAAUUUUUUAAAAUAAAGAUAAUUCAAUUUGUGCUGUUAUUAAAGAUACAAUCACUAUAUAAUAAUUUUUAGUAACACUAUUCAUAAAGUAAUAUAAUAUUAUUAAUUUUUUAUGAUAUUUCUUAAAAUCAUGACUGAAGAAUAUUUAUUGUUUUUUCUAAGCGUUACAAGAACUCAG